rnacentral:lncRNA from 1 species
CUGGGCAGCGACGGUAGCUCAACUGGACGGGGCGGACGGCGUUCGAGCGAGCGAGAGGGAGACGGACGGCAGCGAGGCGACGCGGGCCGAGGACGGCGUGCGGCGGCGGCGAACGGCGAUAGGCGGAGCUGCUGGUUUCUGCUCGGCGUCCGACCAGAUCUGAGAUCCCGAGCAGCAAACGGAGGCGGCUGGGCGGAGCAGCUCGCGGGGCUGCGACGGUGAGCGGGCGGAGACGCGCGGGGCGGCGGCAGCGAGCGGCGACCGCGACGGCGACGAUGGCGUGCAGGUGGGCGGCCGGCGAGCUGCUGGUGGCGUCCGAGGAAGAAGAAGAUGGAGAUGGAGGGGUGGUCGGGCGAGAGAGAGAGAGAGGGAGAGGAGAGGAGAG